CCUACGGGAGGCAGCAGUGGGGAAUAUUUGUAAUGGGCGCAGCCUGACCGCCUACCGCGUUGGGUGAAGAAGGCCUUCGGGUUGUAAAGCCCUUUUGUUGGGAAAGAAAUCCAGCUGGUUAAUACCCGGUUGGGAUGACGGUACCCAAAGAAUAAGCACCGGCUAACUUCGUGCCAGCAGCCGCGGUAAUA
rnacentral:rRNA from 1 species